rnacentral:rRNA from 1 species
UCGAGCGGUAAGGCCUUUCGGGGUACACGAGCGGCGAACGGGUGAGUAACACGUGGGUGAUCUGCCCUGCACUCUGGGAUAAGCCUGGGAAACUGGGUCUAAUACUGGAUAUGACUACAGCAUGCAUGUGUUGUGGUGGAAAGAUUUAUCGGUGCAGGAUGGGCCCGCGGCCUAUCAGCUUGUUGGUGGGGUAAUGGCCUACCAAGGCGACGACGGGUAGCCGACCUGAGAGGGUGACCGGCCACACUGGGACUGAGACACGGCCCAGACUCCUACGGGAGGCAGCAGUGGGGAAUAUUGCACAAUGGGCGGAAGCCUGAUGCAGCGACGCCGCGUGAGGGAUGAAGGCCUUCGGGUUGUAAACCUCUUUCAGCAGGGACGAAGCGUGAGUGACGGUACCUGCAGAAGAAGCACCG